GUUGAGACAAUGCAUUAUUUGCGACAUUGAUCUGCUGCUAGACUCAGACAUCCAGGGCGCAGUGGUCGGCCAACCCACCAAAGCCCCAGUCUGCCCUCACACAUCUCCGACGGCCCCAGAGCAACACCGCGGGGCAGCAAGGAUAAAAGGAUAGAGGUGAAUGGCAGAUGAUAGUUGCAGGGGACGUCAUUCCACUGUCCAUUUUCGUGCCAGAUCAUGACCACACAGUCUUCACCAGAGUUGAAGUAAUUGUCCGGCUGAUUCGGUCUCCAGUUCUCAUAUUGCUGAAUCCAAAUGUUUUGAUUAAAUCAUAAAAAUGAACUUCACAGUGAAAAAAGAAAGUACUUUUCUGCGACAAUCUUAAUGGGAAGCAUCUAUCAGCAUAAUUAAAUUUGGUUUAGAUGAUGAUGCUUUAACAAAAUGAAAUGUAUAAUGCUUUUUAAGACUCGUCUGUGCUCAAAUUCAAUUGCAUAAUUGCUCAGUAGAGUGAAAAAUUAGUUGAGAUAUUCUGUGUUCAUUGAAUGUGAUUCCUUUCUUACUAAGUCCUGUAAGUACA